UCCUGGGAGCGGUGCAGGGAUGGCACGGCGGAAUCAGCCUGGGUGUCACUGGGAUCCCAGCGGGAUCAGCCGCGGGACUGGCGGCAUCUCCUCCGGGUCAGCCGCAGAACCGGCAGGAUCUCCCCGGGAUCGCGCCUGGGUCACUGCCAGCAGCAGCCCCUCGGAUUCCCCGGGAUCACCAGGACCGCAGCAGCCUCACCCUGCGAUCGCCACUGCAGGUCAUUUCCCAUCUUCCCGAUCCGUGGGACAGCUCCUCCAUGGAAUGGUGCUGGAGCACUUCAGGAGACCCAGCUGCUUCUGGGAUGUUUGUUCACGUGGAAUCCUCCAAACCACAUUUACAGCUUCCAAGACUGAGAUUUCUGGGAUUUCCCCAGAUUUGGGAGCACGGUCUGGGCAGGAGGGACCCACAGGGAUGAAGCGGGAAGCAGAGGAGGGGUGGGUAUAAGGAAGGACAAAGAAAGGCUCAGUUCCAGUCCUCUGGAAGUGUUUUCUUGGGAAAAAUCCAGCCUGGCCUGAAUUCCCAGCAGCUUUUUCAGCCUCUGGAAUUGGAUCAUUACAAGGAAAAGGUGAUUUCUGGGAUGUUCUCCAGGGCCCUUCCAGGGGCCAGGUGCUGUUAUAGGAACAGAGGGAAGCUCCAGCAAAUUCCAGCAAACCGAGCACCGCGGGUUCGUUCCCUUUCCCAGUUUUCCAUGGAAAAUCUGGGAUGCCCGAAUGGGAGCUGCUCCCGCCAUGGCUGGUGCUGGUUUUGGCAGCGGGAGGUUCCCCAGGACGCUGGAGCACAGGGGUUUUCAGCUUCCCAAACCAUCUGGAGGGAGCUGGAGGGGCUCAUCCUGGAGCAGAGGCGGCUCAGGGGGCACCUCCUGGCUCCCUGCAAUUCCCUGGGAGAAGGUUGGAGCCAGGAGGGGUCGGGCUCUGCUGACAGGACAAGAGGGAAGGGCCUCAAGGGGAGGUUUGGGUGGGAUAUUGGGAAUAUUCCCCCUGGAAAGGGCUCUCCAGGCCUGGCCCAGCUGCCCAGGGCAGAGGUGGAGUCUCCAUUGUUGGAGGGAUUUCAAAGCCCUGUGGAUGUGGCACUUGGGGACACGGUCAGGGGUGGCCUUGGCAGUGCUGGGGGAUGGUGGGACUUGUUCUUGGAGGGCUUUUCCAACCAAAACCAUUCCGUGAUUCCCCAGAAAUGAAUCUUUGUUUCAUUCCCCUCUCCAGGCAGAUCCAACAGGCCAAGCCAUGACUUUGUUGCUCCAAUGGGAACAAGCCCAGGAGAGCUUCAGCUGCAGCACCAGGAAAGAGGGAAUCAGGAGCAGCCUGGCUUAUCCACAGCAACCCCUGUGCCAUGACCCUGCCUUUUCCAGAGGCUCAGGAAAACCACUGGUGCUGUUGGAACUCCCUGGCUCCCGGCCUGUCCAAACAUCAGCAUCGAUCCCCAAAAACUCCCUGCCUGCUCAAAGCCGGGACCAGUCCGUGUUUCCUGCGCAUUUUCCGGAGGGCCACCAUGGACCUGUUGAAGGUUUGCUGGGAACAGGGAACACAAAGGGAGC